CAGCGCGAACGUUGGCGGCGUGCCUAACACAUGCAAGUCGUGGGGCAGCAGGCUACUACCUUCGGGUAGUAGUGCUGGCGACCGGCAAACGGGUGAGUAACACGUAGCUUACCAACCCAUAGGUUGGGGAUAACAUUCCGAAAGGGGUGCUAAUACCCAAUAAUGAGGAAACUCCAAAGCCCUUAUGGGUGCCUAUGGAUGGGGCUGCGUCCCAUCAGCUAGUUGGUGAGGUAAUGGCUCACCAAGGCUACGACGGGUAACCGGUCUGAGAGGAUGACCGGUCACAGUGGGACUGAGACACGGCCCGCACCCCUACGGGGGGCAGCAGUGGGGAAUAUUGGGCAAUGGCCGAAAGGCUGACCCAGCAACGCCGCGUGGUGGAUGAAGCCCUUCGGGGUGUAAACACCUUUUCUGGGGGAAGAUAAUGACGGUACCCCAGGAAUAAGGGACGGCUAACUACGUGCCAGCAGCCGCGGUAA
rnacentral:rRNA from 1 species